rnacentral:misc_RNA from 1 species
GAUGAAGAACGUAGCGAAAUGCGAUAAGUAAUGCGAAUUGCAGAAUUCAGUGAAUCAUCGAAUCUUUGAACGCACAUUGCGCCCCUUGGUAUCCCGAGGGGCAUGCCUGUUCGAGCGUCAUUUCACCACUCAAGCCUGGCUUGGUGUUGGGCGACGUCCUCUUUGGGGACGCGCCUCGAAACGCUCGGCGGCGUGGCACCGGCUUUAAGCGUAGCAGAAUCUUUCGCUUUGGAAGUCGGGGCCCCGUCUGCCGGAAGACCUGCUCGCAAGGUUGACCUCGGAUCAGGCAGGGAUACCCGCUGAACUUAAGCAUAUCAAUAAGCGGAGGA